AUUGAACGCUGGCGGCAUGCCUUACACAUGCAAGUCGAACGGCAACAGGUCUUCGGAUGCUGACGAGUGGCGAACGGGUGAGUAAUACAUCGGAACGUGCCUAGUAGUGGGGGAUAACUACUCGAAAGAGUGGCUAAUACCGCAUGAGAUCUACGGAUGAAAGCAGGGGAUCGAAAGACCUUGUGCUACUAGAGCGGCCGAUGGCAGAUUAGGUAGUUGGUGGGAUAAAAGCUUACCAAGCCGACGAUCUGUAGCUGGUCUGAGAGGACGAUCAGCCACACUGGGACUGAGACACGGCCCAGACUCCUACGGGAGGCAGCAGUGGGGAAUUUUGGACAAUGGGCGAAAGCCUGAUCCAGCAAUGCCGCGUGCAGGAUGAAGGCCUUCGGGUUGUAAACUGCUUUUGUACGGAACGAAAAGCCCUGGGUUAAUACCCUGGGGUCAUGACGGUACCGUAAGAAUAAGCACCGGCUAACUACGUGCCAGCAGCCGCCGUAAGAC
rnacentral:rRNA from 1 species